rnacentral:lncRNA from 1 species
GUCAAGGUCAAAGCUGAUCAAGGUCAAAGCUGGGCAAGGUCAAGGUCAAGGUCAAUGUGAAUCCUGCUCUGCCUGCUCCACAUUCCAUGCUCAACUCACUAUGUCUGCUCACCAGUUCUUCUAAAGACCCUUGCCCUGGAGCCACUGGGGACAGCCCAGCUCCCAUGCUUCCUUCUCGGGGCUUCAGCAUGACCUGGGGGGGGGUCAAACCUCUCCAGGGAGCAACACCUGACACAGAGGUUUCACCUUCCUCACAGCUGGGCCCACGUGUGACCACGAGUGAGUCACAAGUGAAAGAUGGAGCCGUCUCUCCUCGCUGCGGUGCUCUGGUCCCCAAACCACAUUUAUGUUUUCAUAUAAGUGUCGGGAUGAUUCAGCGGAAACUUCUGGUCAAACGGAUCACCAUAGCAACUUUCAAUAGACAUCCAACAUGCAAAUUAGAGAGUGGAAAGGGACAAGUUUCAAUAGCCUCAAACCACCGUCCUCUGAACCCGAACCCUGCGUGGAUUGAAUCCCAGAUGCUUUGAAGGGGUAACGCAGAGUCAGCAGCGGAAGUCCAUUUCACACCUGCCAGGUCUGCCGGGACCUUCAGAUGCUAAGAGGAGAUAAGCAAAGGCCUCUGUGUGGCUUCUGAAUUCUUUGUCUAGCAGGGAAGACAUGUAGAGCAGGGUUGGGAGGCUGGGGUUCACAUUUUCCCCAUGUCAUUCAUAAACCUCCGGGUCUUGGCCAACUUGUGAGAACUCGGAGCUGUAGGAUUUUCACCUGUAAGAAGGGGAUGGGAGCGGUGCCCAACAGGGGUGUGGUGUCUGAGUGGUGAGCGGGGGGUGGUUGCAGGUAUUAGUCUCUCAGUGCACAGCAUAUUUGGACCUUCUGAAGCAUAGUUUAUCUUUAGGCCUCAGCCUUCUGUUGAAGUGAGUUUUGAAUAUCUGCUUUCAAUAUCCAGAAUGUGCGUGCAUUCGUGCGUGUCUGGGCAUGCUUAUUUAAUGACUCCUUUCUCCUAAUUGACCAAUUUACUUCAUCAAAACAGACUAUAGAACCACAUCCAUAGGUUAAUUUUUUUCUUUCACAAUAACAGAAGCAAAGCCAGAAGAGGCUGGACUGUUACCCAGAGGACUAGAUGUACUUUUUGGCCACUUGGGAAUGUAUGGUUGGGAGUGGUGGGUGUACUCCUGGUGACACUCACGGCUCUGCUUUCCAGAGACUCACCUGUAAUUCCAACACUGAGUUUCAGGUUUGGCAAGAGGCACAUAAAAAUAUUCUCAAGGUGUACUGAUGAAAAAGAAAGAAAGAAAGAAAGAAAUCCAGGCUUCAAGGAGGAUCAGCUUUGCAUCUCUCAACCUGCCUUCACAGAUGUGAGAGGGGCGGGACGUGACCUGGGACUUCUUGGGAGCAGGAGUUGUCUCUGGCAGGAGAUGUGGGCACUAGAUAGCAUCAG